rnacentral:tRNA from 1 species
CAGAAGAUAAUUUAACUAAAAUGCUGGUUUUGGGGGCCAGUUUUGGGCUCAGCCCUCUUUUGA